rnacentral:rRNA from 1 species
AUUGAACGCUGGCGGCAGGCCUAACACAUGCAAGUCGAGCGGAGCGGCGGACGGGUGGGUAAUGCCUAGAAAUCUGCCUGCUAGUUGGGGAUAACGUACGGCAACGGACGCUGAUACAUCCUGCUAUCAAAUGAGCCUAGGCCGGAUUAGCUAGUUGGUGGGUUAAAGGCUUACCAAGGCGACGAUCCGUAACUGGUCUGAGAGGAUGAUCAGUCACACGGGAACUGAGACACGGUCCAGACUCCUACGGGAGGCAGCAGUGGGGAAUAUUGGACAAUGGGCGAAAGCCUGAUGCAGCCAUGCCGCGUGUGUGAAGAAGGCCUUCGGAUUGUAAAGCACUUUAAGUCGGGAGGCGUUACCAACAGAAUAAGCACCGGCUAACUCCGUGCCAGCAGCCGCGGUAAUUC